rnacentral:rRNA from 1 species
CGGGUGAGUAAUGCGUGACCGACCUGCCCCAUGCUCCGGAAUAGCUCCUGGAAACGGGUGGUAAUGCCGGAUGUUCCACAUGAUCGCAUGUGAUUGUGGGAAAGAUUUCAUCGGCGUUGGAUGGGGUCGCGUCCUAUCAGCUUGUUGGUGAGGUAACGGCUCACCAAGGCUUCGACGGGUAGCCGGCCUGAGAGGGCGACCGGCCACAUUGGGACUGAGAUACGGCCCAG